UACGGAGGGGGCAAGCGUUAUUCGGAAUCAUUGGGCGUAAAGAGCGCGUAGGCGGCCGUGCAAGUCGGUUGUGAAAUCCCGGGGCUCAACCCCGGGACUGCGUCCGAUACUGCACGGCUCGAGGCAGGUAGGGGAGAGUGGAAUUCCCGGUGUAGCGGUGAAAUGCGCAGAUAUCGGGAGGAACACCGGUGGCGAAGGCGGCUCUCUGGACCUGGCCUGACGCUGAGGCGCGAAAGCUAGGGGAGCGAACAGG
rnacentral:rRNA from 1 species